GCUUUUAGUUAUCUCGAUUUGCGUGCACAGUCACGGCGCAUAGCUAAAAAACUUUUAUGUUAAAAUAUGUGAAUUCUGUCAAAAAAAUUGAAGAAUUUUGAUACUAAUAUUGAUAAAGUUGACUUUGGUCAACAUUUUGGGUAAACAGAACCAGACCCGUGAUGUGACGGUCCCGGGAGGUACGCAGAAAAAUAUAGGACUCGGUCGUAUUCCAGGAAUUGAAAUCCGAGGUCCCGAGCUCGAGAAUAGAAUU
rnacentral:lncRNA from 1 species